CCAGCAGACUGAAAACGUACUCCAGUGAGUGCCAAAGGACAAACCCCUGAUGCACACAGGCAGAAAGGAGAGAUGCUCCCAAUGUGCAGACAACUGAAUAUUGAAAAGAAUGCAAAACAAGCUGAAACAGUGGAACUUGUAGCUCAUCCUUUGGUGGCUGUCAGCACCAGAAAGGAUGGAUGAAGAAAUGAAACAUGGCCAUCUUCAGCCACUCACCUGUGUACUGGGCUUAGAGAAGUUUCAGUGUAAUAUAACACAAAUAUUUUGUUUCCCUGUGGACUGGUGGCAGCGGUGGAGGAGGUUGCAGAGGAAGGGGUAUGUUUGCUGUAGGCCUUUUGCAGGUGGAAGAAUUAGAUUUGAAAUAAAGGAAAGAAAAUUUAUCUUCACAUCUUCAGGAA